rnacentral:rRNA from 1 species
UAGGGAAUAUUAGUAAUGGGCGAAAGCCUGAACUAGCAACGCCGCGUGUGCGAAGAAGGCCUUCGGGUUGUAAAGCACUUUUUGAGAGGAUGAGGAAGGACGGUACUCUCAGAAUAAGUCUCGGCUAACUACGUGCCAGCAGCCGCGGUAACACGUAGGAGGCAAACGUUAUCCGGAUUUACUGGGCGUAAAGCGCGUGUAGGUGGUUUGGUAAGUAGGGCGUGAAAGCUCCUGGCUCAACUGGGAGAGGACGUUCUAAACUGCCAAGCUUGAGGAUGGUAGAGGGAGGUGGAAUUCCGGGUGUAGCGGUGGAAUGCGCAGAUAUCCGGAGGAACACCAGUGGCGAAGGCGGCCUCCUGGACCACUCCUGACACUCAGACGCGAAAGCUAGGGUAGCAAACGG